GAUGAACGCUGGCGGCGUGCCUAAUACAUGCAAGUCGAGCGAACGGACGAGAAGCUUGCUUUUCUGAUGUUAGCGGCGGACGGGUGAGUAACACGUGGAUAACCUACCUAUAAGACUGGGAUAACUUCGGGAAACCGGAGCUAAUACCGGAUAAUAUUGAACCGCAUGGUUCAAAAGUGAAAGACGGUCUUGCUGUCACUUAUAGAUGGAUCCGCGCUGCAUUAGCUAGUUGGUAAGGUAACGGCUUACCAAGGCAACGAUGCAUAGCCGACCUGAGAGGGUGAUCGGCCACACUGGAACUGAGACACGGUCCAGACUCCCACGGGAGGCAGCAGUAGGGAAUCUUCCGCAAUGGGCGAAAGCCUGACGGAGCAACGCCGCGUGAGUGAUGAAGGUCUUCGGAUCGUAAAACUCUGUUAUUAGGGAAGAACAUAUGUGUAAGUAACUGUGCACAUCUUGACGGUACCUAAUCAGAAAGCCACGGCUAACUACGUG
rnacentral:rRNA from 1 species